UACGUAGGGUGCGAGCGUUAAUCGGAAUUACUGGGCGUAAAGCGUGCGCAGGCGGUUCGCCAAGUCAGGUGUGAAAUCCCCGGGCUCAACCUGGGAAUUGCGCUUGAAACUAGCGAGCUUGAGUGUGGCAGAGGGGGGUGGAAUUCCACGUGUAGCAGUGAAAUGCGUAGAUAUGUGGAGGAACACCGAUGGCGAAGGCAGCCCCCUGGGUCAACACUGACGCUCAUGCACGAAAGCGUGGGUGGCCAAAGGG
rnacentral:rRNA from 1 species